rnacentral:rRNA from 1 species
CAGUAGCCGCGGUAAUACGAAGGGUGCAAGCGUUACUCGGAAUUACUGGGCGUAAAGCGUGCGUAGGUGGUUGUUUAAGUCUGUUGUGAAAGCCCUGGGCUCAACCUGGGAAUUGCAGUGGAUACUGGGCGACUAGAGUGUGGUAGAGGGUAGUGGAAUUCCCGGUGUAGCAGUGAAAUGCGUAGAGAUCGGGAGGAACAUCCAUGGCGAAGGCAGCUACCUGGACCAACACUGACACUGAGGCACGAAAGCGUGGGGAGCAAACAGGAUUAGAUACCCCUGUAGUCCCUGUCUCUUAUAC